UGCUCAAGUGUCUAAUUUUGCACCAGCUGCCCCACGGAUUUUGAUGGCAUAGGGGGCUGAUCGUGGGCCUGGUGGUUAGCAACACUGCGUGCCACUUUUUCUAUUUUUGCUUGUACUGGCUCCCCACCGCUGGUCCCACGUAAUAGCCCGUUUGCGCAGUGGAGUGUGAGAACCUGAUGGCAGAGUGACUACCAUGGCUUCUUCUCCAAGAACACCCCCUGCUUCCAAAAGGUCCGCUACCCGUCGUGGCACUCCUAAAUGUGCCAGUUCCUCAACUCCUAACCAG